GUAGGGAAUAUUGGGCAAUGGAGGCAACUCUGACCCAGCCAUGCCGCGUGCAGGAUGACGGCCCUCUGGGUUGUAAACUGCUUUUAUACGGGAAGAAAAAAUACUACGUGUAGUAUACUGACGGUACCGUAAGAAUAAGGAUCGGCUAACUCCGUGCCAGCAGCCGCGGUAAUACGGAGGAUCCAAGCGUUGUCCGGAUGUAUUGGGUUUAAAGGGUGCGUAGGCGGAUCUUUAAGUCAGUGGUGAACGCCUGCAGCUUAACUGUAGAAUUGCCAUUGAAACUGAAGAUCUUGAAUGUGGUUAAAGUAGGCGGAAUGUAUCAUGUAGCGGUGAAAUGCUUAGAUAUGAUACAGAACACCGAUAGCGAAGGCAGCUUGCUGAACCAUUAUUGACGCUGAGGCACGAAAGCGUGGGGAGCGAACAGGAUUAGAUACCCGUGUAGUCC
rnacentral:rRNA from 1 species